rnacentral:rRNA from 1 species
UACAGAGGUCUCAAGCGUUGUUCGGAUUCAUUGGGCGUAAAGGGCGCGUAGGCUGCGGGGCAAGUCGGGUGUGAAAUCUCAGAGCUCAACUCUGAAACUGCACUCGAUACUGCUUUGCUUGAGGACUGGAGAGGAGAUUGGAAUUCACGGUGUAGCGGUGAAAUGCGUAGAUAUCGUAAGGAAGACCAGUGGCGAAGGCGGGUCUCUGGACAGUUCCUGACGCUGAGGCACGAAGGUCAGGGGAGCAAACGGG